rnacentral:rRNA from 1 species
UACGAAGGGGGCUAGCGUUGCUCGGAAUCAGCUGGGCGUAAGGGUGCGUAGGCGGGUCUUUAAGUCAGGGGUGAAAUCCUGGAGCUCAACGUGCCAGUAACUGCCUUUGAUACUGAAGAUCGUUGAGUUCGGGAGGAAGGUGAGUGGAACUGCGAGUGUAGAGGUGAAAUUCGUAGAUAGUUCGCAAGAACACCAGUGGCGAAGGCGGCUCACUGGCCCGAUACUGACGCUGAUGGCACGAAAGCGUGGGGAGCAAACAGG